rnacentral:lncRNA from 1 species
AGGGAGCAAGGUCAGAAUGACUGAUUAUAUGAAGUUGGGUGCUCCCCAGUUUGAAACCGGUGAUGACCCGUUUGUGUACCUUGAGAGGGUCAAGGCGAUAACAGAUGAGAUAGGGGCGGAUGACAGUAGAGCCAUUCAGAUGGCUGGGUUCACACUAAAAUGCAAGAAGGCCCGUGAGUGGUUCAAGGGCUAUGUGAAACCGAGGGUGGAUAGUCU